rnacentral:sRNA from 1 species
ACUGUUGGCAGCGUAGAAUUGAGGAGUUGGAAGAGACCUUUAGAAUAGCUGGUCAUUAUGCCAACUGGGUGUCCACACUAAGUUCGGCAUCAAUAUGAUGACUUCCUGGGAGCAGGGCGCUACCAGCUUACCUAAGGAUGGGUGAACUGGCCCAGGUCAGAAAUGAAGCAGGUCAGAACUCCCAUGCUGAUCAGUAGUGGGACUGCACCUGGGCAGCAUAGAGAGCCCUUGGCUCUUA